CCUANGGGAGGCAGCAGUUAGGAAUAUUGGGCAAUGGGCGCAAGCCUGACCCAGCGACACCGCGUGGGGGACGAAGGCCCUCGGGUCGUAAACCCCUGUCAGGAGGGACGAAGUCCGCCGCAAGGCGGGUGACGGUACCUCCAGAGGAAGCCCCGGCUAACUACGUGCCAGCAGCCGCGGUAAGACGUAGGGGGCAAGCGUUGUCCGGAUUUACUGGGCGUAAAGCGCGUGUAGGCGGUCCGCUAAGUCCCGUGUUAAAGCCUCCGGCUCAACCGGAGAACGCCGCGGGAGACUGGCGGGCGUGAGGGCGGUAGAGGGUGAUGGAAUUCCCGGUGUAGCGGUGAAAUGCGUAGAUAUCGGGAGGAACGCCAGUGGCGAAGGCGGUCACCUGGGCCGUCCCUGACGCUGAGACGCGAAAGCUGGGGGAGCAAACGGGAUUAGAUACCCUANUANUC
rnacentral:rRNA from 1 species